rnacentral:lncRNA from 1 species
AUGGACCAAACUGCCAUCUUAACAUCUCCAUUUAAGUUUCUUCUUGACCUUCUCGUAAUUUUGUACAGUCAUCACUACACUGCUCACGAGAAUGACUCUUACCCUCAUCCAGUAUCUUUUGUCUUGGCUCCAAGGUUAAAUAUACUCAUCACAGACACAGGCACAGGCAUAGAUGACCUCACAGGGGCUGAAAAAGAAAUUAGAAACAGCAAGAUCGGUAAAAGCAACAACAACAACAACAACAAUGGAUCAUUGCUAAGUUGCCAAGAUUAA